AUGGGAACGCGAAGAACCUUACCUACCCUUGACAUGGCAGGAAUCCCGAAGAGAUUUGGGAGUGCUCGAAAGAGAACCUGCACACAGGUGCUGCAUGGCUGUCGUCAGCUCGUGUCGUGAGAUGUUGGGUUAAGUCCCGCAACGAGCGCAACCCUUGUCAUUAGUUGCUACGCAAGAGCACUCUAAUGAGACUGCCGGUGACAAACCGGAGGAAGGUGGGGAUGACGUCAAGUCCUCAUGGCCCUUAUGGGUAGGGCUUCACACGUCAUACAAUGGUACAUACAGAGGGCCGCCAACCCGCGAGGGGGAGCUAAUCCCAGAAAGUGUAUCGUAGUCCGGAUUGUAGUCUGCAACUCGACUGCAUGAAGUUGGAAUCGCUAGUAAUCGCGGAUCAGCAUGUCGCGGUGAAUACGUUCCCGGGUCUUGUACACACCG
rnacentral:rRNA from 1 species